GUAGUUUAUUAAAAACAUAUAAUUUUGAGUUAUAAAAAAAGUAUAAUAUACUUCUUACAAG
rnacentral:tRNA from 1 species